CCAAUAGCGUAUAUUAAAGUUGUUGCAGUUAAAAAGCUCGUAGUUGAAUUUCGGGGUCAGUAGGUUGGUCAUGCCACUGGUAUGUACUGGUCUCACUGAUUCCUCCUUCCUGAUGAACUGUAAUACCAUUAAUUUGGUGUUGCAGGGAAUCUGGACUGUUACUUUGAAAAAAUUAGGGUGUUUAAAGCAGGCUAACGCCUGAAUACAUUAGCAUGGAAUAAUGAAAUAGGACGAUCGAUCCUAUUUUGUUGGUUUCUAGGAUUGACGUAAUGAUUAAUAGGGAUAGUUGGGGGCAUUAGUAUUCAAUUGUCAGAGGUGAAAUUCUUGGAUUUAUUGAAGACUAACUACUGCGAAAGCAUUUGCCAAGGAUGUUUUCAUUAAUCAAGAACGAAAGUUAGGGGAUCGAAGACGAUCAGAUACCGUCGUAGUCUUAACCAUAAACUAUGCCGACUAGGGAUCGGAUGAUGUUAAUUUUUUAAUGACUCAUUCGGCGCCUUACG
rnacentral:rRNA from 1 species